rnacentral:rRNA from 1 species
AAUGGCUUACCAAGGCUAUGACGGGUAGGGGACCUGAGAGGGUGGCCCCCCACAAUGGAACUGAAACACGGUCCAUACACCUACGGGUGGCAGCAGUAGGGAAUAUUAGUAAUGGGCGAAAGCCUGAACUAGCAACGCCGCGUGUGCGAAGAAGGCCUUCGGGUUGUAAAGCACUUUUAGAGAGGAUGAGGAAGGACGGUACUCUCAGAAUAAGUCUCGGCUAACUACGUGCCAGCAGCCGCGGUAACACGUAUGAGGCGAACGUUAUCCGGAUUUACUGGGCGUAAAGCGCGUGUAUGUGGUUUGGUAAGUAUGGCGUGAAAGCUCCCGGCUCAACUGGGAGAGGCCGUUCUAAACUGCCAAGCUAGAGGAUGGUAGAGGGAGGUGGAAUUCCCGGGUGUAGCGGUGGAAUGCGCAGAUAUCCGGAGACACCAGUGGUCGAAGCGCCUCCUGGGCCACUCCUGACACUCAGACGCGAAAGCUAGGUAGCAAACUGGAUAAAGACCCGUAGUCUAGCUACGAUGUAGACUGCGUCGUGAUAAUCGCAUCGAGUCCCAGCUACGCGAUAGUCUACGCCUGGGGACUAC